UAAGUUCACUCUUCACUAAUGCAGGUACAUGUUAAUUUAUAGGAUAUAAUCAAUCUUGGGCCAGUUCCCUUCGACAUCUUUCUGUAAGGUGCUCAUAAUUUUAUAUAUUAAGGUGUGCAAAUGAGGUGAGACUGCCAAUCCAAUGUGGUAAUGCUGUCAAACCACAAUAGUUGUAAAUUGAGAGACGUUGAAGAGUUGAAACAUGUCGAUGCAGCUCAUCUAGAAGAAAUAUCAAAAUCACAUAUCUUCUAUAUGGACAAAGACUCCAAUGGAGAAUCAAUAACAAGUAUUAACUGCCGCAAUACCUCUUCUCUCACUGUAGACAGUAGCAAUUUCUUAAGACAAGGUAACAAAGACACUUGCAAGGAUGUCUAGAAUAGAAAAAAGACUCUGAGCUCAGGGCAUUGCGAGAUCUUUAAACUAGAAAGAAGAGGAGAUGAAUGCAGUUCCAAGGACGCUAACUCCUUACAAUACUCGAUAUCUAAUUGUGAAAGAUAAGGAAAUGAAGGAGGUGGUUGUGUUGGUAACAUUUCCAGGCCCCAAUACCGGAGACACCAACUCAAGCUUCAUCUUCAUUAUCUAACAAAAGAAGCUCACUGCAACAUUUAUUCAAGGUAUCAAAGGUGAUGAAAUAUUGAAUCCCCUCGUAGAGAUGUCCAAGCUCCACCAUUAUCCCUUGUACAUUCAAUUGACAACAAUUACAU
rnacentral:lncRNA from 1 species